rnacentral:lncRNA from 1 species
CGACUGCUGAACUCUCCUAUCUCUGGUCUCCUGGUCUGUCUCAGCAGGAUCUUGAUGAGGAAAGCAUCGUCUGAAUUGGAGGAGAUAAUCACCUUCUCGAGCGGUACACAGUGCUCCUGUGGAGGAUGUUUGAUGAGUACUGUUGCCUGAUCUUCAAAGGUGCAGCUUAAAACAGCCACCCUUUACAGACAGUAGCAGAGGACUGGAGAGGUGUCUCACCCAUGGCCUGCUUACCCAUAGCACAGUGGUAUGUAUUCCUGAGGGACAUGUUGUGAUGGGGGUAGGGGAUCAGGCCAGCACAGACUCCUAGUAGUACAAAAUCAAGUUUUAUUGGUCACAUACACACGGUUAGCAGAU